UGCCUUACACAUGCAAGUCGAACGGCAGCGCGGGAGCAAUCCUGGCGGCGAGUGGCGAACGGGUGAGUAACAUAUCGGAACAUACCCUAGAGUGGGGGAUAACGUAGCGAAAGUUACGCUAAUACCGCAUACGAUCUAAGGAUGAAAGCGGGGGAUCUUCGGACCUCGCGCUCAUGGAGUGGCCGAUAUCUGAUUAGCUAGUUGGUAGGGUAAAAGCCUACCAAGGCGACGAUCAGUAGCUGGUUUGAGAGAACGACCAGCCACACUGGGACUGAGACACGGUCCAGACUCCUACGGGAGGCAGCAGUGGGGAAUUUUGGACAAUGGGGGCAACCCUGAUCCAGCAAUGCCGCGUGAGUGAAGAAGGCCCUCGGGUUGUAAAGCUC
rnacentral:rRNA from 1 species